GCAGACAGCCUCUCUUCAGGCCCCCUGGACUUACCUUUGGAUUUCUGAGGUUGGUUUUGGAUUUGACCUGGCUUGAUGAUCCUGAACCUCAAAGGAGCCUGUUGCCAUCGUCAGCCAUUGCGGCAGCACUAUUCCCUUGAAGUCUGAGCCGUGAUAUUGAACAAGAACCUCUUCUACAGUAUUCAUUAAAAGGAGAAUUAAAAGAAACCCUGCAGGCACCACUAACUUGACACUGAUUCAGGUUGAGCAUAUGAACAAGGAUCUCCUGUUUCGCAGGUAAAUUCUAGGGACACAUUGUCAGAGAGGGAACUUUAUUGAGAAAGAGCUUUUCUUGAUAAACCAAGGAUUCCUGACAAUUGAGGAUUCCUUCUCAGGCUGUACUAGAAAUCUCACAUCACACUGAUAGUCACUUUCACAAUGUUGAUUUUUGGUCAAGCUGGUCCAAGUUGAAGUAUUCUGGUUUUACUCUCAGGUGAUAAAUCUAAAAAGAUGAGUUUAUGGAAGUAGCAUUGUAAACUGGAAAAUCCUAAAAUGAGUAGCCUUCUAAUGGAAGUAAGUUAAACACAAGGAGCAGGAUCUGUAUUUGUGCAUAA